GGCUGGAUAGCUCAGUUGGUAGAGCACCGGACCAGUUAUCCGGAGGUCGCAGGUUCAAGCCUCGCUCCAGUCA
rnacentral:tRNA from 1 species